CCCUUAGAUGUCCUGGGCUGCACGCGCGCUACACUGAUGCGUUCAACGAGUACCCCUGACCUGGGAGGGUCGGGUAAUCUUGUCAAAACGCAUCGUGAUGGGGAUAGAUUAUUGUAAUUAUUAAUCUUCAACGAGGAAUUCCUAGUAAGCGUGAGUCAACAGCUCGCGCUGAUUACGUCCCUGCCCUUUGUACACACCGCCCGUCGCUCCUACCGAUUGAGUGAUCCGGUGAGCCAUUCGGACUGCUAGGCCCGAGGUUCGCUGAGGGCCUCAGCGGAAAGUCUUGCAAACCUUAUCACUUAGAGGAAGGAGAAGUCGUAACA
rnacentral:rRNA from 1 species